ensembl:snoRNA SNORD115 Small nucleolar RNA SNORD115
GGGGGAGCGACAAUACUGUCUUGAAGAGAGAUGAUGCCUUAAAAAUAAUGCUCAAUAGGAUUACGCUGAGGCCC